UACAGAGGGGGCAAGCGUUGUUCGGAAUUACUGGGCGUAAAGCGUGCGCAGGCGGUUCGCCGUGUCCGAUGUGAAAGCCCCGGGCUUAACCUGGGAAUGGCAUUGGAAACUGGCGGGCUUGAGUGUGGCAGAGGGGGGUGGAAUUCCACGUGUAGCAGUGAAAUGCGUAGAGAUGUGGAGGAACACCGAUGGCGAAGGCAGCCCCCUGGGCCAACACUGACGCUCAGGCACGAAAGCGUGGGGAGCAAACAGG
rnacentral:rRNA from 1 species